rnacentral:rRNA from 1 species
UACGGAGGGUGCGAGCGUUGUCCGGAAUCAUUGGGCGUAAAGGGCGCGUAGGUGGCCCGGUCAGUUCGUGGUGAAAGCGCGGGGCUCAACCCUGCGUCGGCCAUGAAUACUGCCGCGGCUGGAGCACUGUAGAGGCAGGCGGAAUUCCGGGUGUAGCGGUGGAAUGCGUAGAGAUCCGGAAGAACACCGGUGGCGAAGGCGGCAUCCUGGACCAAACUGACGCUGAAUAGCGAAAGC